GGUGAGUCGCGGCGAGUGGGUGGUGAGCGCAACAGUGACAGUCGGCGGUCUGCAGCAGUGCCCAUGUCCAGCACACGGCGCUCUUCAGCACGCCGCCUGUCCUGGAUUUGGCUGUUGACCUUCGCCUUCUGCUCAGCUAUGGAAGGCAUGAUGGCCCGCCUCACCUCUCUUGCACCGGCGACCCACUAUGAUAAUGCUGCCUUUCUGGCCCCGACCCCCACACCUUCCUUACCUCACACUUUCACACAAAUUACAGCACGUGGUUGUAAUAGCCUUCCCAAGUCUAAGAUGUCACACUAUUUGCAGCAUUUCCAUCCGUAACUCUCACUUUCCACAACUUACGAGUUUCCUUUUCCCCUUGCCACGAUUCACGACCUAAGCUUAGGAACUAGAUCCGCAACAUACACAAGUAUGCACCCCUAUGAGACUCACAAUCACAAUACACCGCGCCCUGGUAACUAAUCAACAUCCAGCUAGCACGGGGUACGACACGAGGCUAUUGCUAAUACGCCCUACUGGCUUUCACGCGGUCUGCUGGAGUGUGACGGCGAAUUUGUUGAUCUUUCCGGUUGCCAUGACACCAGUGCGCUAUAUGACCUCACUGUUGCUGCGUCCCUGUGAACAGCCAGCCAGUCAGUCACUCAUUUCUCUGGAACAAGAUGGUGCAUUUCUUCCGUCUGUCUGCUGUCACGAGUGCAGAAGAGGCUUGUAUAAUGCGAAAGACGAAAAAAGACAUGAGAGAAACCUGAUGAGUGUGUCCAGUUCCUUACCAUUGCUGCAUGUGACAACUGGGAAAUCUCGUAAUGCAGAAUAACUAGUUUGGUUAAUGAAAUGCAGAGAGAGAGAGAGAACAAAACACAGGUACGUCAGACAAGGAUCAAGGAAAAGAUAAAGAUGAGCUUAAAAGCAAGCAAAAACUAGAGUGACACACACACACACACUUUAUUAUGAUUUUAGCGAUGGUUUAAUGAGGAUCCUACAUUAUUGAUUAGAAGAAGAAAAAAGCCCACGAGAACCCAAGUAAUAAUUUAAAUAAUCUCUGUGGUUUCUGAAAGCAAUCCAUAUAAGAUGCUUCAGCGUUUCAAAAUACUGCUCCACGCUUGGUAAUAUUCAGAAACGCAUUGCUCUCUGUCCACAACUACUUUCAAGGGCCACAGCUAAGAUUAGCCGGAUUCUUAGCAGUGUUUCUCCUGAUCGUCAUGUAGAAAUGUUAAUUUGUCACUAGAAUCAUGAAAAAAAAAAGAAAAACACUUCAACUAGAGCCUUUUGAAAACAGGUGUGGCCAGAAGUGUUUCAGAAUACGGUCCCAUAUAGUUCAGACAGCUUGGCAAUCACCUUCGCAAGUGGCAGUCAAGUUACAUCACUGCCUAACCUUCACCUUCCCACGGCCCACGAGUUGAACCCUUGACCUUUAGGCUCCCGGCGUGCCUGACAGGGUGCAGGGGGAUGGUCAGGCAGGGCAAUAUUUAAUAACUACAUGACGACACCUCGAGCAGCACCUCCCUCCAAAGCAGCAGCAGCAGCAGUUAAAGGAGUUUCUGUUACCUCUCAAACUUUCGUACCGCUCGCUCACUCAGGCCAGCAGGUGCACGUGGCUAUACAUUCUCUCGAUCAAUUUCCCUUUCCUGACUAUUCAAUGCCGGUGUGCAGGUGUUACAGAGACUGUUAACUCUAUAAUUAAAAUGAAUAGGCCCACGGAUAUAGUAAACUGAUGCCAAAAGGUAUCUUCCACGUAGCACAUAUGUAGGAUAAUAGGAUACCUAACCGAGAAUGACUGAAACCUUUCAUUACACUUCCUUCGCUCGUGUGACUUUUACUGAAGUGAUUUAAUGGGUUUUGGGAGGAAUGUGCGUUUUAGGUAAAGAAUGGUAUAGGUGGACUGAGUAUGGUACGUACUGUACAUGCAUUCACUGUUGGCAGGGAGAGCAAGUAGGGAGCAUGAAUGGGCCAGCAACGAGAGAGGACCUUGCUAUCCACUCAAGAGUUCCUAGGAAAUAAAUAAAUAAAUAAAUAAAUAAAAAUAAAUAAAUAAAGAUAAAUAAAUACAAAUAAAUGAAUAAAAAAAUAAAUAAUAAAAAAAAAAUACGCUCAUACAAGAAACAAAAUGACAAAGAAAGCAAGGCAAGAAGCAUCAUCAAAUAGUCCUGAAGAAGGUGCAGCCUACAUGAAGACUGGCUGAUGAGAUAAUACUGUGUUUUUUUCCAUAAAUGUUGAGGAAUUUACUUGUAGUACGUCAGGCAGCGGCGGCACCACUAGCUUCCAGCACACUGGCUUGAAAUCGCCAGUGUGAGAUGAGGCGCAGUGAGGAGUGUAUGCUGGCCGUCAAUGUGGUGCUCUCAGUAUUUUGCAACCUAUAAUGUAGUAAUGAACGUCACGGGAAUCAAGGAGUGAGUGAAGUGUGUGUGUUAGCCAUGCAGGGAUGUGGUAGUGUUGAGUGUGCAGCAGGCGCCGGGAGGGUGGCUGGCGUGUGAGUGGGCACCCGCCGCCGCCGCGUUCACUCCUCAAUCUUCCAUUCAAAGUGACGGAUUAAAGAAAAAAUAAUAAUAACUCCGGAGUGACCUAACCCGAGGAAGCUGACCUGACCCCGCCACACAGAAGAAGAGUCAUUGAUGGGUGCCCUGUGCCCAUGUACGUACAGCUUGGGUCAACCACUGGAUUGUGUUACGCUUGAAUGCCCAGCCGUAGGGGAGGCGAGGAGGGAACAGGAGGUGGGAGGGACUUGCUGCAGGCUGGAGGGAGGAGGAAGGGCGGGAGAGGAGGAGGAGGAGGAGGAGGAGGAGGGAGCGAGGUUCGGGGAUAUUGGUUGAAGGAAAGAGAAGUAGGAAGAAGAGGGAGAGAUGAGAGAAAGAGAGGAGGAUAUUCUGAAACUUAUGCGCCACUCCACUACAUUCAAAAGGAUCUAUAGUUGAAGUUACACGGGUUUUCAAGGGUCUUGUUUUAUGGUUCUAAUCACAAAAUAACAACAUUUCUAUAUGAUUAACGGGAGAAACACUUGAGAACCUGGUUAAUCUUCUCUGUGGCCUUUGAAAAUAGUCAUGGAGAGAGAGAGAGAGAGAGAGAGAGAGAGAGAGAGAGAGAGAGAGAGAGAGAGAGAGAGAGAGAGAGAGAGAGAGAGAAUUAUUUGUAUUGUCACCAUUUCACUAUCCUUCACUUCACUUUUACUACCGUCACCUUAUUUGUCUCUCUCAGUAACUUACUUUCCACGCUUGUAUAUGUUAGUAGUGUUCACGGAAUCUUUGGCUUAAGUAGGUGUGGUUGGGUCAGGAAGAGAAGGAAGUUAGGAAGGAUAAACGUGAAUUUGGAAGAAAGGGAGGAAGUUAGAAAAAAAGCCGUUUGAUUUAGUCACUGGAGAAAAGGAAGGACGUGAUUAUUGACUUAUUUAUAUUUGGACUAAGUUUUAUUAGCGAGAAAGUGAAGCCGUUAUAACACUGACGGGGUUAACAAUGAGCAACGAACGAGAAGGAG